rnacentral:rRNA from 1 species
AUAAUGUAAGGCCUGCUCAAUGAAAAUUAAAUAGCCGCAGAAAUUUAACUGUGCUAAGGUAGCAUAAUCAUUAGAUUUUUAAUUAAAAUCUGGAAUGAAAGGAUUAACCUUUAAUAACUUUCCUAAAAUAUAAAAUUUUAAAUUAGAAUAAAAAUAAAAAUAUUUUUAUUUUUAAAAAAGACGACAAGACCCUAUUGAACUUAACUUAAGUUAAGCUGGGGCAGCUUAUUAAAAACAAUUUUAAUUUAAAUCCUUAGAUAAAUACCUAAUAAUAUUAAAUCAAACAAGUUACCAUAGGGAUAACAGCGUAAUUUUUUAAAAAAGUUCUUAUCUAAUAAAAAGAUUGCGACCUCGAUGUUGAAUUAUAUUCCUUUUUAAAGCAAAAUUAAAUAUAGGGGGUCGUCGAUCAAAAUU